rnacentral:rRNA from 1 species
CCUACGGGGGGCAGCAGUGAGGAAUAUUGGUCAAUGGGCGCGAGCCUGAACCAGCCAAGUCGCGUGAGGGAAGACGGUCCUAUGGAUUGUAAACCUCUUUUGUCGGGGAGCAAAAGACGCCACGCGUGGCGUUCCGAGAGUACCCGAAGAAAAAGCAUCGGCUAACUCCGUGCCAGCAGCCGCGGUAAUACGGAGGAUGCGAGCGUUAUCCGGAUUUAUUGGGUUUAAAGGGUGCGAAGGCGGAAGAUCAAGUCAGCGGUAAAAUUGUGAGGCUAAACCUAUAAGUGCCGUUGAAACUGGUUGUCUUGAGUGAGUGUGAGGUAUGCGGAAUGCGUGGUGUAGCGGUGAAAUGCAUAGAUAUCACGCAGAACUCCGAUUGCGAAGGCAGCAUACCGGCGCUCAACUGACGCUCAUGCACGAAAGUGUGGGUAUCGAACAGGAUUAGAUACCCCAGUAGUC